rnacentral:rRNA from 1 species
AGCGAACGCUGGCGGCAGGCCUAACACAUGCAAGUCGAACGAACCUUUCGGGGUUAGUGGCGGACGGGUGAGUAACACGUGGGAACGUGCCUUUAGGUUCGGAAUAACUCAGGGAAACUUGUGCUAAUACCGAAUGUGCCCUUCGGGGGAAAGAUUAAUCGCCUUUAGAGCGGCCCGCGUCUGAUUAGCUAGUUGGUUGAGGUAAUGGCUCACCAAGGCGACGAUCAGUAGCUGGUCUGAGAGGAUGAUCAGCCACAUUGGGACUGAGCCACGGCCCAAACUCCUGCGGGAUGCAGCAGUGGGGAAUCUUGCGCAAUGGGCGAAAGCCUGACGCAGCCAUGCCGCGUGAAUGAUGAAGGUCUUAGGAUUGUAAAAUUCUUUCACCGGGGACGAUAAUGACGGUACCCGGAGAAGAAGCCCCGGCUAACUUCGUG